rnacentral:rRNA from 1 species
UACGUAGGGAGCAAGCGUUGUCCGGAUUUAUUGGGCGUAAAGAGCUCGUAGGCGGCUUAGUAAGUCGGGUGUGAAACCUCCAGCUCAACCUGGAGACGCCACUUGAUACUGCUAUGGCUAGAGUUCGGCAGGGGACCACGGAAUUCCUGGUGUAGCGGUGAAAUGCGCAGAUAUCAGGAGGAACACCGAUGGCGAAGGCAGUGGUCUGGGCCGAUACUGACGCUGAGGAGCGAAAGCGUGGGGAGCGAACAGG